rnacentral:rRNA from 1 species
UACGUAGGGCGCGAGCGUUGUCCGGAAUUAUUGGGCGUAAAGAGCUCGUAGGCGGCCUGUUGCGUCUGCUGUGAAAUCCCGGGGCUUAACCCCGGGCGUGCAGUGGAUACGGGCUGGCUGGAGGCAGGCAGGGGAGAACGGAAUUCCCGGUGUAGCGGUGAAAUGCGCAGAUAUCGGGAGGAACACCGGUGGCGAAGGCGGUUCUCUGGGCCUGUACUGACGCUGAGGAGCGAAAGCGUGGGGAGCGAACAGG